rnacentral:rRNA from 1 species
UACAGAGGGGGCAAGCGUUGUUCGGAAUUACUGGGCGUAAAGGGCGCGUAGGCGGCCUUCUAAGUCGAACGUGAAAUCCCCGGGCUCAACCCGGGAACUGCGUCCGAUACUGGAAGGCUAGAAUCCGGGAGAGGGAUGCGGAAUUCCAGGUGUAGCGGUGAAAUGCGUAGAUAUCUGGAGGAACACCGGUGGCGAAGGCGGCAUCCUGGACCAAUAUUGACGCUGAGGAGCGAAAGCCAGGGGAGCAAACGGG